CCUACGGGAGGCAGCAGUGAGGAAUAUUGGUCAAUGGGCGCUAGCCUGAACCAGCCAAGUAGCGUGAAGGAUGACUGCCCUAUGGGUUGUAAACUUCUUUUAUAUGGGAAUAAAGUGCAGUAUGUAUACUGCUUUGCAUGUACCUUAUGAAUAAGGAUCGGCUAACUCCGUGCCAGCAGCCGCGGUAAUACGGAGGAUUCGAGCGUUAUCCGGAUUUAUUGGGUUUAAAGGGAGCGUAGGUGGGUUGUUAAGUCAGUUGUGAAAGUUUGCGGCUCAACCGUAAAAUUGCAGUUGAUACUGGCAGUCGUGAGUACAGUAGAGGUAGGCGGAAUUCGUGGUGGAGCGGUGAAAUGCUUAGAUAUCACGAAGAACUCCGAUUGCGAAGGCAGCUUACUAAACUGACACUGACACUGAUGCUCGAAAGUGUGGGUAGCAAACAGGAUUAGAUACCCGAGUAGUC
rnacentral:rRNA from 1 species